UACAGAGGGUGCAAGCGUUAAUCGGAAUUACUGGGCGUAAAGCGUGCGUAGACGGUCAUGUAAGUCGGGUGUGAAAGCCCCGGGCUCAACCUGGGAAUUCCAUUCGAGACUGCAUGGCUAGGGUGCGGAAGAGGGAAGCGGAAUUUCCGGUGUAGCGGUGAAAUGCGUAGAUAUCGGAAGGAACACCAGUGGCGAAAGCGGCUUCCUGGUCCAGCACCGACGUUCAGGCACGAAAGCGUGGGGAGCAAACAGG
rnacentral:rRNA from 1 species